rnacentral:rRNA from 1 species
AGAGCGAACGCUGGCGGCAGGCCUAACACAUGCAAGUCGAACGGACCCUUCGGGGUUAGUGGCGGACGGGUGAGUAACACGUGGGAACGUGCCUUUUGGUUCGGAAUAGCUCCUGGAAACGGGUGGUAAUGCCGAAUGUGCCCUUCGGGGGAAAGAUUUAUCGCCAUUAGAGCGGCCCGCGUCUGAUUAGCUAGUUGGUGAGGUAAAGGCUCACCAAGGCUACGAUCAGUAGCUGGUCUGAGAGAUGACCAGCCACAUUGGGACUGAGACACGGCCCAAACUCCUACGGGAGGCAGCAGUGGGGAAUCUUGCGCAAUGGGCGAAAGCCUGACGCAGCCAUGCCGCGUGAAUGAUGAAGGUCUUAGGAUUAGUAAAAUUCUUUCACCGGGGACGAUAAUGACGGUACCCGGAAGAAGAAGACCCGGCUAACUUCGUACCAAGCAGACCGAC